CUAAGAAUAUUCCGCAAUGGGCGAAAGCCUGACGGAGCGACGCCGCGUGUACGAAGAAGGCCGAAAGGUUGUAAAGUACUUUUGCGGGCGAAGAAUAAGCAGGGCAGGGAAUGGCCUUGCGAUGACGUUAGUCCGUGAAUAAGCCCCGGCUAAUUACGUGCCAGCAGCCGCGGUAACACGUAAGGGGCGAGCGUUGUUCGGAAUUAUUGGGCGUAAAGGGCGCGUAGGCGGUUACGCAAGUCUGGCGUGAAAGGCAAGGGCUCAACCCUUGGACUGCGUUAGAAACUGUGAAACUAGAGUCAUGGAGGGGGAGUUGGAAUUCCUGGUGUAGGGGUGAAAUCUGUAGAUAUCAGGAAGAACACCGGUGGCGAAGGCGAACUUCUAGCCAAUGACUGACGCUGAGGCGCGAAAGUGCGGGGAGCAAACAGGAUUAGAUACCCUGGUAGUCCGCACUAUAAACGAUGUGCACUAGGUGUUGGGCCGAGCGGUUCAGUGCCGGAGCGAACGUGAUAAGUGCACCGCCU
rnacentral:rRNA from 1 species